GAUGAACGCUGGCGGCGUGCCUAAUACAUGCAAGUCGAGCGAACAGACGAGGUGCUUGUUCCUCUGACGUUAGCGGCGGACGGGUGAGUAACACGUGGAUAACCUACCUAUAAGACUGGGACAACUUUGGGAAACCGGUGCUAAUACCGGAUAAUAUCUUGAACCACAUGGUUCAAUAGUGAAAGACGGUAUUGCUGUCACUUAUAGAUAUAUCCGGGUCGAUUUAGCUAGUUGGUAGGUUAACGGCUUACCAAGGCAACGAUGCGUAGCCGACCGGAAGGGGGGACCGGCAACACUGGAACUGAGACACGCUCCAGCCUCCUACGGAAGGCGCAGGAAGGGAACCUUGCGCAAUGGGCGAAAGCCUGACGGAGCAACGCCGCGUGGGUGAGGAAGGUCUUCGGUUGUAAAAACUCUGUGAUUGGGGAAGAACAAAUGUGUAAUUAACUAUGCAUGACUUGACGGUACCUAAUCAGAAAGCCACGGCUAACUACGUG
rnacentral:rRNA from 1 species